CUUUGUGUAGGAAGAUAAGGUUGCUGUGAUUGUGGGUACUGUGACUGAUGAUAUCAGGGUUUAUGAAGUACCCGCAUUGAAAGUUACAGCACUCAGGUUCACAGAAACAGCACGAGCCAGGAUAGAAAAGGCUGGUGGUGAGUGCUUGACGUUUGAUCAGCUUGCUCUCAGGGCCCCGCUGGGACAGAACACGGUCCUUCUUAGGGUCCAAAGAAUGCUCGUGAAGCUGUGAAGCAUUUUGGUCCUGCUCCUGGUGUGCCACAUAGCCACACCAAGCCUUAUGUGCGAUCAAAGGGAAGGAAGUUCGAGAGGGCCAGAGGAAGGAGGAACAGCAAAGGUUUUAGGGUUUGAGUUUAUCUUAGUUUAUUUUGGAUAAGGUGAUCCGUGACUCCCAAAGUUCACAUUUUUGCAAUAUCAUACGAGCUGAUGACAAAUUUGACUUUAUUUAGUUAUGGAUGACGUAUGAACUUUUUAUGCUUUGGUCUCCUAGAUUUCUUGUUCAGUGAGCGUAUUUUAAAAUUUUAUUUCCAGUGUUUCUAUGGAAUUUUUUUUAGAUGC